rnacentral:rRNA from 1 species
AUACGGAGGGUGCAAGCGUUACUCGGAAUCACUGGGCGUAAAGGAUGCGUAGGCGGAUAAUCAAGUCAAAAGUGAAAUCCUACAGCUUAACUGUAGAACUGCUUUCGAAACUGGUUAUCUAGAAUAUGGAAGAGGCAGAUGGAAUUAGUGGUAUAGGGGUAAAAUCCGUAGAGAUCACUAGGAAUACCGAUUGCGAAGGCGAUCUGCUGGGACAUUAUUGACGCUGAGGCAUGAAAGCGUGGGGAGCAAACAGGAUUAGAUACCCUAGUAGUCC